CAUACACCCCUCUCCAUAUAUUCUGUCUUAGAAAAUUUUCUAUAUUUGGUAUUAGAGCUGGAGCAGAGGUGUGAUUUGAGAGAGUUACUAAACAAAUGAGAGGUUUUGAAGAACAAAAAACCUUUUUGGUUUGUUUCAAGAUUUAUGAUUAUGAUGAUGAUGAUGAUGACGACGAUAUCGACAACAAAUCAAAGACACUGAUUCAUGAUGAUGAUGAAGGAUGAUGGAUGAUGCAAUUGUACACUGAUGAAUUAAACAUGUUUGAAUUAAGUGAAGGUGUUGGAAUUAGUAAUCCAAACAGACUAAGUUAAUUGAUUUAAUCUUGACGAAAAUAUGUGAUUAAUCCUAAGUACUUAGGAUUGGUAAGUACAUGUUAGUCCUAGUAUUCUGGGAGUAAUUGGCAGUCUUUAAUGUGGGAGUAUAUUUCCUACUAAUUAGGAAUUAAUGUGUUUAGUGGGUUACUUGUUAAGAGUUCCUUCAAGAUAGUAAUGCCUAUUUAAAGGCUUUUAUGUUAUUGAGAAAAGUGUAUCAGAGUUGUUAAACAGUGUAGUCAUAUAUCCCUCUUCAUAUUCUGUUCUAGAAAAUUUUCUACAAUCCAAACACGUUUAAUUAUGUCUUUCAAUAAA